rnacentral:tRNA from 1 species
AAUUAAUGAACUUGUAAAAGUAUAUGCCUUGAAAGUAUAAAAAAGAAGUAAAAUCUUCUAUUAAUUU